UACGUAGGGGGCAAGCGUUGUCCGGAAUCAUUGGGCGUAAAGCGCGUGUAGGCGGCUGAGUAAGUCUGCUCUGAAAGCCCGGGGCUCAACCCCGGGAGGCGGGUGGAUACUGUCGGACUAGAGUCCGGAAGAGGCGAGUGGGAAUUCCCGGUGUAGCGGUGAAAUGCGCAGAUAUCGGGAGGAACACCAAUGGCGAAGGCAGCUCGCUGGGACGGUACUGACGCUGAGGCGCGAAAGCGUGGGGAGCAAACAGGG
rnacentral:rRNA from 1 species